GACGAACGCUGGCGGCGUGCUUAACACAUGCAAGUCGAACGGUAAGGCCCUUCGGGGUACACGAGUGGCGAACGGGUGAGUAACACGUGGGUGAUCUGCCCUGCACUUCGGGAUAAGCCUGGGAAACUGGGUCUAAUACCGGAUAGGACCACUGCCUGCAUGGGUGGUGGUGGAAAGCUUUUGCGGUGUGGGAUGGGCCCGCGGCCAAUCAGCUUGUUGGUGGGGUGAUGGCCUACCAAGGCGACGACGGGUAGCCGGCCUGAGAGGGUGACCGGCCACACUGGGACUGAGAUACGGCCCAGACUCCUACGGGAGGCAGCAGUGGGGAAUAUUGCACAAUGGGCGCAAGCCUGAUUCAGCGACGCCGCGUGAGGGAUGACGGCCUUCGGGUUGUAAACCUCUUUCAGCACCGACGAAGCGCAAGUGACGGUAGGUGCAGAAGAAGGACCGGCCAACUACGUGCCAGCCGCCGCAGUAA
rnacentral:rRNA from 1 species